UACGGGGGGGGCAAGCGUUGUUCGGAAUUACUGGGCGUAAAGGGCUCGUAGGCGGCCAACUAAGUCAGACGUGAAAUCCCUCGGCUUAACCGGGGAACUGCAUCUGAUACUGGAUGGCUUGAGUUCGGGAGAGGGAUGCGGAAUUCCAGGUGUAGCGGUGAAAUGCGUAGAUAUCUGGAGGAACACCGGUGGCGAAGGCGGCAUCCUGGACCGACGACUGACGCUGAGGAGCGAAAGCCAGGGGAGCCAAAGCGGG
rnacentral:rRNA from 1 species